AGAGGAUGACCAGCCACACUGGAACUGAGACACGGUCCAGACUCCUACGGGAGGCAGCAGUGGGGAAUAUUGCACAAUGGGCGCAAGCCUGAUGCAGCCAUGCCGCGUGUGUGAAGAAGGCUUUCGGGUUGUAAAGCACUUUCAGCGAGGAGGAAAGGUUGUACUUUAAUAGAGUGCAGCUGUGACGUUACUCGCAGAAGAAGCACCGGCUAACUCCGUGCCAGCAGCCGCGGUAAUACGGAGGGUGCGAGCGUUAAUCGGAAUUACUGGGCGUAAAGCGCGCGUAGGCGGUUAAUUAAGUCAGAUGUGAAAUCCCAGGGCUCAACCUUGGAACUGCAUUUGAAACUGGUUAACUAGAGUUUUGUAGAGGGUGGUAGAAUUUCAGGUGUAGCGGUGAAAUGCGUAGAGAUCUGAAGGAAUACCAGUGGCGAAGGCGGCCACCUGGACAAAGACUGACGCUGAGGCGCGAAGGCGUGGGGAGCAAACGGGAUUAGAUACCCC
rnacentral:rRNA from 1 species